GACGAACGCUGGCGGCGUGCUUAACACAUGCAAGUCGAACGGAAAGGCCCUGCUUUCGUGGGGUGCUCGAGUGGCGCACGGGUGAGUAACCCGUGUGUAACCUGCCUUUGACUUUGGGACAACUUCAGGAAACUGGGGCUACUACCUGCUUGGAGCUCCUGCUGCAUGGUGGGGUUUGGACAGUUUCGGCGGUUGGGGAUGGACUCGCGGCUUAUUAGCUUGUUGGUGGGGUAGUGGCUUACCAAGGCUUUGACGGGUAGCCGGCCUGAGAGGGUGACCGGGCACAUUGGGACUAAGGUACGGCCCAGACGCCUACGGGAGGCAGCAGUGGGGAAUAUUGCACAAUGGGCGGAAGCCUGAUGCAGCAACGCCGCGUGCGGGAUGACGGCCUUCGGGUUGUAAACCGCUUUCGCCUGUGACGAAGCGUGAGUGACGGUAAUGGGUAAAGAAGCACCGGCUAACUACGUG
rnacentral:rRNA from 1 species